UGGCUCAGACGGUAAAGCAUCUGCCUACAAUGCAGGAGACCUGGGUUCAAUCCCUG
rfam:Ovis aries breed Texel chromosome 13, whole genome shotgun sequence.